GUUAAGUUAGCAAAAAAUUGUAGUUGAUUUAGAAUCAAAUGAUGGCAUAAUAACAAUGUCACUUAAUU
rnacentral:tRNA from 1 species